rnacentral:rRNA from 1 species
AGCGAACGCUGGCGGCAGGCCUAACACAUGCAAGUCGAACGAACUCUUCGGAGUUAGUGGCGGACGGGUGAGUAACACGUGGGAACGUGCCUUUAGGUUCGGAAUAACUCAGGGAAAGUUGUGCUAAUACCGAAUGUGCCCUUCGGGGGAAAGAUUUAUCGCCUUUAGAGCGGCCCGCGUCUGAUUAGCUAGUUGGUGAGGUAAAGGCUCACCAAGGCGACGAUCAGUAGCUGGUCUGAGAGGAUGAUCAGCCACAUUGGGACUGAGACACGGCCCAAACUCCUACGGGAGGCAGCAGUGGGGAAUCUUGCGCAAUGGGCGAAAGCCUGACGCAGCCAUGCCGCGUGAAUGAUGAAGGUCUUAGGAUUGUAAAAUUCUUUCACCGGGGACGAUAAUGACGGUACCCGGAGAAGAAGCCCCGGCUAACUUCGUG